GGCGGAGGCUUCUCAGUCGAGCAGUAACUGAAUUGCUCAUUUACUGAACGUGCAACAUGUACAGAACUCUUCUGGGAACUAGUCAACCCAACGUAGUGAAACACACACUGAAUGCAUGCUGGCCCCGCCUACCCACCUACCUCUACCAACCACCACUCCAUAUCCUGACUGACAUGACCUGUGAUCCAGUGAUUGACAGGAGAGGAAAGGCCAACUUCGUUAACUCUUCACUCUUACGAUAUUCUCGAGAGGACAAAAGAUUUUGCACCUGUUAUUGUUGGACCUCUGUGUGGAAACUGCAAACGGGACAUCAUAAGGGUUUUCACCUAUGGCUGACUGUGGCCGAAAAGAAGAUUAAAGAAAAGGAAAAACAAAAGAUCUGCCUGGUCAUUGAGUGAAACCCAGUUAAACACCUGUGGUAGAUGCAUCAAUCCCUUUCAAGCGGGGAAGCUGCACAAACUUAGAGAGUUUGACUAAGCAGCAGGUAAAAAUACACAUUAUG
ensembl:lncRNA